UUUAAAUGUAAAUUAUAUAAACUUGAGUAGUAUUAGUUAUGUUCUUGAAACUCAAAGAAUUUGGCGGUGUUUUAGUCUGUGCAGAGGAACCUGUCCCGUAAUCGAUAUUCCACGUUAAACCCUACUUAUUUUUGCUGUCAGCUUGUAUACCGCCGUCGUCAGAUUGUCCUAAGAAGGGUUUAAUUUUCUUAAAUUUUUAUUAAAAAUGAUGCCAGCUCAAGGUGUAGCUUACGAAUAAGUGGUGAUGGGUUACAAUAAAUUUAUUUAUAACGGAUGAAGUUUAGAAUUAAUCUUCUGAAGGUGGAUUUGACGGUAAUUAACUUGAUUAAAUUAAUUUGAUUUUAGCUCUAAAACAUGC
rnacentral:rRNA from 1 species